rnacentral:rRNA from 1 species
AGCUAAUACCGCAUAACGUCGCAAGACCAAAGUGGGGGACCUUCGGGCCUCAUGCCAUCAGAUGUGCCCAGAUGGGAUUAGCUAGUAGGUGGGGUAACGGCUCACCUAGGCGACGAUCCCUAGCUGGUCUGAGAGGAUGACCAGCCACACUGGAACUGAGACACGGUCCAGACUCCUACGGGAGGCAGCAGUGGGGAAUAUUGCACAAUGGGCGCAAGCCUGAUGCAGCCAUGCCGCGUGUGUGAAGAAGGCCUUCGGGUUGUAAAGCACUUUCAGCGGG